rnacentral:lncRNA from 1 species
UAGGCCCCCGAAAGCAUGAGUGAGGGAAGUCCAGGUUCGGCCGCCGAAAGUCAAGUUCGGCCGCCGAACAUUGCAUGGAUUCGGAGGCACAUUCGGCCCCCGAACGUGGCCUGGCCAGCCACCUAUAAAAUGGGGACUUAGCCGAAAUGGGUGAGUUUUCUCCCAUUUUCGGCCACAGCUAGCUUCCAACCUCCCUCUCCCAAAUCUUUUGUUCUUCCUCCAAAUCCCCGCCAUUUUUCUUAAGUUUUGAGCUUGCAUUGAAGGUUUUGAGCUUUUAAAACAAGUUUUGGAGCUUGGGAGACUCAGGAGCCCAUUUGCUUGGAUCUCCGAGUUUAGGUCGUCUCUCUCUCGAUCUUCAAGAGGUAAGAGCCGAUCUUGAGCUCAAUGUAUGUUUUUAACAAGUUUUAAGUAGAUUUAUGGGGUAGAAAUGAAUGUUAGGGUUAUUUGAAUAUUUGGGUUUAUGUUAUGAUUUCGAACAAUGUAUGUUGGUUUUUGUGUGUUUGAAGUGUUGUAGUUGGGGUAUAUGCUAGUUUGAGACCCCUAAGUGUAAUGUAUGAUAUGUAUGCAUGUUUUAGAACUAGUUUUUGCAUGAUUUGAGCUUGGGAGGCGAAAUGUGCAUAGAAGAGCUGAGUUUCUGCCCUUCGGGAGAAGCUCAGGUUCGGCCGCCGAAGUGACUUUCGGCCGCCGAACCCCCUUUGUGGAGGCAGCAUUCGGCUGCCGAAGUUGCCCCCGAAAAGAGACUUUCGUCUCUGUCUGGGACUUUCGGCCGCCGAAGGUGCCGCCGAAAGUGCCUGACUUUCNNN